AGAUUUUGGGUUAAUCCUCUAAUUGGUCCCUGUGGUUGUGUGACCAUCUGAAAUUAGUCCCUCCCGUAAAAUCUAAGUCCUCGUGUUUGAAAAAGUGUGUGUAGCAGGUCCUCGCCGGAGGGACUAAUUUCCACACACUUUCCAAACACGAGGACUUAGAUUUUACGGGAGGGACUAAUUUCAGACGGCCACACAACCACAGGGACUAAUUAGAGGAUUAACCCCAUAUUU
rnacentral:pre_miRNA from 1 species